ensembl:lncRNA
AUUCAAAUUCAACAAACACUUCUGCAGUAGCUGCAACAUUCAACUUGGUCUUUAGCAUCAAUGAAACCUUUGUUGAAGAAAUGGCCAAUACCAGCUCUCCACAGUUCACAGCAAAAGCUACAACGAUCCGCCAUCAGCUUGAACCAAUUUACAGACAAACCUUCACAAACUUCAUCCAGAUGGUCAUUCUUGAAUUCAGGAAUGGUUCGAUUGUGACAAAUUCCACUCUUGAAUUUACCGCCAAUGGCACCAUCCCAACUAACUCCACACUACAAGACGCCCUUGUUAAUGCGACCAGCACCACCUCAAGCUUGAACAUUAUUCCAACUUCUAUAAAUGUCACCCGGGUUCCUGGUAAUUCCACCAGUAAUUCCACCAGUAAUUCACCAGUGAUUGCCAGCUCACUCUCCAUGAUAUGGAUGUCUCUUCUAUCACUUCUACUUUCAGUGGCAUUGCACUUCUAGCUCUACACCUGAUCGGAAAACAUCCACAAUGACCCUUAUAUAUAAUGUAUGUAAUAAUGCAUAAGAAAAAGGGGAUAUGGGGAAAAUGAUUCACUCUUAUAAACAUGGGUAUAUUUAUAUAAGUAUUUGAAACUGGAGACUUAAUGAGGGUUCUGAUUUGCUUGAAAAUUUCUCAGCAUUCUAACAGGCCUACAAGGAUUUUAUUUCACUUUUUAAACUAUUGUGUAGUUAAUAGUAGAAAUUAAUGUUGUUCUAUACUGUAUAAUUUCUAAACACAAGUGUAUAUGCAAACCUAAAUUUAACUUCUUUAUAUCAGUGUAUAAUGAUUAUAAACAUUGUAUGAAAUAAAGCUUUCCACGAUUCAUUUAAUAUUUUAUGCAGAUCAUUUAAUAACAAAGAUACAAUAUAUAAGAUGCACAGCCAAAAAGGAUGUGGACACGAUCAUCACACCCAUAUGUAUUUUUUCCGGAAACUAUUGCCACAACAUUGGAACCUGCUAAUAAUCAAUCACACAUAAUCAAUC